UUGACGUCCUUAUGCGUCGGUGAAGACUCGACUUUCGAUUCAAACUUAUUUUGUAUUUAUAAUAGAUUAAGUAUUUUUUGACCUAGUGAAUUUUAAUUGUUUACGAAGUGAAGAAAAAGUGUAAAUUACCAUUCUGUUCGUACUCUGAAGGAAUCCAAUAUGGCGUUCUACCUAUUCAGCUUCAUCGCUAUAUGCCUGGUAAACAUCAAACUGGUUCACGGUGAAUCCAGUCCCUUACGCAUCCAACUCACUCGCAGCAUUAGCGAAGCCAACCUGAUCGAGCCGAUGAAACAUUUGGCCAACCGUUUCGGCAACGACUUGCCAAAUCAUUUGGCCAAUACAACAUUGGACGGUACCGAUGCGUUGUUAUUUAUGUAUGAGGUUAUUCUAACCCCGUUUAUGUCGAAAGAUGGCAAUGAUUUUGGCAACGUGUGGGAUGCUGGCCAGUGUCCUGUUGACACGCCCUACGACCCUGUUACAAGGACUUGUGGGUCCCCCAUCAGUGGGCUGCCGACUGGUGAUAUUGUCGAUUAGUACACGAGGUGUCGUAGCUCAUUUUACGAUGGUAACCAUCGAUUUGUUGUCGACUACUGUGCUGUUUUCUAGGAACCAUUUAUUUAUGUUAUAGUUGGGUUAGGUUAGGUUAGACCUACACAGGGUGUUAGUGACAUCGUAACGAAAAUUUUGAGGGAUGAUUCAGACGAUGAUUCUCAGUUUAUAUCAAGUGGAAUUUUCCGUCGGAAAAUUAUGGAACGAAUAAUAAUUUUCCGACAGGAAAUUCCACUUGAUAUCAACUCGGAAUCAUGGGCUGAAUCAUCCCCCUCAGUAUUCUUUACGGUGUCACUAACACCCCUACCUACUUUUAUGGCUACCGUAUGUACUUUUAUGGGGUGGAAGUAACAUAGUAACGAACACUGAGAGGGAUGAUUCAGCUGAUAAUUCUGAGUUAAUAUCAACUGGAAUUUUCCAUCGCAAAA